rnacentral:rRNA from 1 species
UACGAAGGGGGCUAGCGUUGCUCGGAAUUACUGGGCGUAAAGCGCACGUAGGCGGCUUUCUAAGUCAGGGGUGAAAUCCUGGAGCUCAACUCCAGAACUGCCUUUGAUACUGGGAGCUCGAGUCCGGAAGAGGUGAGUGGAACUGCGAGUGUAGAGGUGAAAUUCGUAGAUAUUCGCAAGAACACCAGUGGCGAAGGCGGCUCACUGGUCCGGUACUGACGCUGAGGUGCGAAAGCGUGGGGAGCAAACAGG